rnacentral:rRNA from 1 species
UACGUAGGGGGCUAGCGUUGUCCGGAAUCAUUGGGCGUAAAGCGCGCGUAGGCGGCUUUGUAAGUUAGAGGUGAAAGCCCGGGGCUCAACCCCGGAACUGCCUUUAAAACUGCAUCGCUUGAAUCCAGGAGAGGUGAGUGGAACUGCGAGUGUAGAGGUGAAAUUCGUAGAUAUUCGCAAGAACACCAGUGGCGAAGGCGGCUCACUGGCCCGGUACUGACGCUGAGGUGCGAAAGCGUGGGGAGCAAACAGG